rnacentral:misc_RNA from 1 species
UAGCCCACUUCACUCCUCUAUCGCAACAAGCACACAUACACUCAGCGGCAUCCUUGUCUCGCGCCACGGUCCAUGCCGAUCACAGGUAAAAUCGCUGUACUGCGUGCUCCUUCUUUGGCCCCUCUACAAAGACAGGGGCAAACCCGUUCUUGCCUACCGGGAGAGCGGUAGGCACACGCGCGCGCACAUAUAUCGUAAAGGGAGCUGAGAAUUUCAGUUGUAACGGGACGUCGUACACCACUUCAAACGUGUUCGUGGUACGACUGCUCCCAUCUGCUUUCCUUUUUUUUUUCAUCUUCAUAGAAGGGGGCACGUUCGAAUCGUUGCUGGCAUCAUCUGCGUAUUCGGAGAUCAAUUCUUGCCUUCGUCGUUGCGGGUACUCGCACCUGCGCACACUACACACACGUACACGCACAGAGAAAUAGACACAUAAACGCGUACGCAGAGAUAUGCGUGCAGAAAACCCCACCAUUGCUCACGUUCUUCCUUGAGUUAAUAGGCUCCUCCAGCACUCGCGUAUGGUGUCCCACCUUUGCAUCUUUUCCUCCUCGUUCUGCUUUUUUUCCCCACUCUGCGUGUGUCCUUCCGGGCCUUGGGAGAAUGGCCACUGUUCACGUAUUUGUAGGACAGUGCGGCAAUCAAGUUGGAACGGCAUUUCUGGACACGAUCGCAUCCGAGGCGGAGGCUAGCGUCGAUGAGGGCUACCAGAUGCGUGUGUCAGCCAUGGACUUUCGACCUGCGCUGCGACCGCCGCCGGCGCGGCCCCACCAUCAGCGCUCAGCGUUGGCGGGCUCAGCAACGGGGCCGUCACGUGAGCCGUCCGAGGUGGCGAGGCGGAUAGGACACCAACAGUACUACUCCUUAUCAUACUACGCGCAAGAGAAAGAGCGCGCGGCUAUCGACACAUCUCUGCCCCAGCCGCGGUGUGUGUUGGUGGAUAUGGAGCCCAAAGUGAUUGCCGCCACAGUGCAGCGUGCUAACGGGCAACGCGAGCAGCACGAAUCCUCUCCUUCGUCCUCUUCUUCACCGCAGUCUGCGUCAAGGCGCCUUUAUUCCCUGGCGCCGCAGCAGUGUGUGACCCGCGGCGAGGGCAGCGCCAACAACUGGGCCUUUGGGUACCACCAGCAGGGACAAAGCCGUCGUGACGCCAUCGUGGAAUGUCUUCGGCGCGAGAGCGAGCAGCAGGGUACCGUCGUGUCGACCUUCCACGUGCUUCACAGCAUCGCCGGCGGCACCGGCUCGGGUGUCAGCUGCCUCGUUGCGGAAGAGAUCAAGACGAUGUUCCCACGCUCCAUGUUGCUGCACUCCGUCGUGUGGCCGUUCCGUUGCGGCGAGGUCGUGACGCAGUGGUACAACGUUGUCAUGGCGGCCAGUACUCUUGGUGGGUUGGCGGACGGCGUAUUCAUCGCCUACAAUGACGCUAUCGCAGAGGAGCUGAAGGGUGCACGGGCGAAUCGCGGCUUCAAAGAUGCCGGGGAGGUGUCCUUCCAGCUCAUUAACCAGCGCAUCAGCGGGGUGCUCGCCCCGCUUCACCUACCGCAGCUUCUCUACACUCUCCCGUCUCCCCAGAAAGACCUGUCGAAAAACCGCAUCCUCGGCACGGGUAGUGGAGCUGCCCAAGGCAUCUUGGGGAGCGGCCCAUCUGGCUGCGUCGCGGAAGGCGCGGCGCCGCAGCGGUACGCCACUGCCAGCGACGUCGUCGAGGCCCUGUCGCUGGACCCGGCGAUGAAGUUCUUCACAGGCUCACUCGCGCCGCAGAUGGUCACUGGCUCCACGACGUGGGCUGCGGUGCUCGGCGAAGCGGCUCGAACGGCGCAACACAGCUUCACUGCUCCGAGUGCGCUGGCUUCGUCCGCCGACACGGGCUUCUCGUGCUCAGAAGGAAAAGCAACGACUGGUAGGGUAGCUGACGCCUCCGCGUUUUACAUGCAGAACCGAAGCUGUUUGUGGGCUAUUCGCGGGGUUGCGGCGCAUACAGACGGCAUCCGUGAGCUGCGCCACCUCAUGGCCGACACCGCCUCGUCGCCAUUCCCGAUGACGUCGCUCUUUGUCAGCCCGGCGGAGGAGUGGCGCGCGACACCGUCAUACACCCGGCCGGACCACAGCGUCACCUUGUACGGCCCCACGCCCAUGGUAGGCGCGUCGCUGGCUGAUGCCGCUGGCCGCGCAGAGGAGCUGCUCCACGUCGGCGCUUUUGUGCACCACUUUGAGCGCUACGGGGUCUCCAAAACGGAGCUGCGCGAUGCCGCGGCCGUGUUGUACGACACAGCCGCUGCCUAUCAUCUCUAGAGAUUCACCAUGGAGGGCUGGGUUAGCGGAGCGAUGCGGCGUGAUGGCGAAGAAGAAUGUGCGACAGACUCUCCGCAGUGUACCUAUCCCUCGAACUCGUUUCGUAUCGCUGUGCUGCCACUGUAGGCGGGGCCGGUGCCGGAGAGGUCAACUUCUACGGAAAGCACGAGGGAAUGGACACCUGCCGGCGGUGGCGCCAACGGCGCGAAAAGAA